UGAAUGCAAAUGGAAGGACAAUCCAGUAAUACAAGAUUCGUGAAUUCCCAAUGCUUUCAGACAACCGAACAAGCUAUAGUUGUUCAUCAGCCAAGCAAAAGUCAUACCCAAAUCUUGCGUUGUGACUUUGUAUUAUUUGUGGAACCUAAUGUUGUGUAAUAGUUUGAUUGAGUUUGUUUUGAAAACUUUAAAUAGUAAACAAGUGAGAUUGAUUGCUUGAUUGAGUUGUUAACUAUUUUGUUGGUAUUAUGGCUUUCAUGA